rnacentral:rRNA from 1 species
CCUACGGGUGGCUGCAGUCGAGAAUCAUUCACAAUGGGGGAAACCCUGAUGGGGCGACGCCGCGUGGGGGAAUGAAGGUCUUCGGAUUGUAAACCCCUGUCAUGUGGGAGCAAAUUAAAAAGAUAGUACCACAAGAGGAAGAGACGGCUAACGCUGUGCCAGCAGCCGCGGUAAUACAGAGGUCUCAAGCGUUGUUCGGAAUCACGGGGCGUAAGGCGUGCGUAGGCGGUUUCGUAAGUCGUGUGUGAAAGGCGCGGGCUCAACCCGCGGACGGCACAUGAUACUGCGAGACUAGAGUAAUGGAGGGGGAACCGGAAUUCUCGGUGUAGCCGUGAACUGCGUAGAUAUCGAGAGGAACACUCGUGGCGAAGGCGGGUUCCUGGACAUUAACUGACGCUGAGGCACGAAGGCCAGGGGAGCGAAAGGGAUUAGAUACCCCUGUAGUC